UACAGAGGGUGCGAGCGUUAAUCGGAAUUACUGGGCGUAAAGCGUGCGUAGGCGGUUAUUUAAGUCGGGUGUGAAAGCCCCGGGCUCAACCUGGGAAUUGCAUUCGAGACUGAAUAGCUAGGGUACGGUAGAGGGAAGCGGAAUUUCCGGUGUAGCGGUGAAAUGCGUAGAUAUCGGAAGGAACAUCAGUGGCGAAAGCGGCUCCCUGGACCAGUACCGACGCUCAGGCACGAAAGCGUGGGGAGCAAACAGG
rnacentral:rRNA from 1 species